rnacentral:rRNA from 1 species
CCUACGGGAGGCAGCAGUAAGGAAUAUUGGACAAUGGUCGCAAGACUGAUCCAGCCAUGCCGCGUGCAGGAUGAAGCGCUCAGCGUUGUAAACUGCUUUUGUUUGGGAAAUUGUACCAAAAGAAUAAGGGACGGCUAACUUCGUGCCAGCAGCCGCGGUAAUACGAAGGUCCCAAGCGUUAUCCGGAUUUAUUGGGUUUAAAGGGUGCGUAGGCGGAUUAUUAAGUCAGUGGUGAAAGCUCUCAGCCUAACUGAGAAAUUGCCAUUGAUACUGAUGAUCUUGAGUACAUUUGAAGUGGGCGGAAUGUGUCAUGUAGUGGUGAAAUACUUAGAUAUGACACAGAACACCGAUUGCGUAGGCAGCUCGCUAAACUGUACUGACGCUGAGGCACGAAAGCGUGGGGAGCAAACAGGAUUAGAUACCCCAGUAGUC